UACGUAGGGUGCAAGCGUUAAUCGGAAUUACUGGGCGUAAAGCGUGCGCAGGCGGUUUUGUAAAGUCUGUCGUGAAAAUCCCCGGGCUUAACCUGGGAAUUGCGCUUGAAACUAGGCUGCUUGAGUGUGGCAGAGGGGGGUGGAAUUCCACGUGUAGCAGUGAAAUGCGUAGAGACGUGGAGGAACACCGAUGGCGAAGGCAGCCCCCUGGGUCAACACUGACGCUCAUGCACGAAAGCGUGGGGAGCAACAGG
rnacentral:rRNA from 1 species